rnacentral:rRNA from 1 species
UACGUAGGGUGCAAGCGUUGUCCGGAAUUAUUGGGCGUAAAGAGCGUGUAGGCGGCCCGAUUAGUCCGCUGUGAAAGUCCAAGGGCUCAACCCUGGAAUGCCGGUGGAUACUGUCGGGCUAGAGUCCGGAAGGGCGAGUGGAAUUCCGUGGUGUAGCGGUGAAAUGCGCAGAUAUCAGGAAGAACACCCGUGGCGAAGGCGGUUCUCUGGGACGGUACUGACGCUGAGACGCGAAAGCGUGGGGAGCGAACAGG